CAGAGCCCUCAACCUCCUGGCCACAAUGGAUGCUGACAUGGGUGGCACGGAGAUCCUGCACCCACUCCAGAGCAUCUACUCCAAGCCUCUCAGACCUGGCCACUGCUGACAGUGAGUGUGAGGAGUCGCCUUCAAAAGCCGAUAAUCUGCAAGGCACACGUCUUGGUGUUCGCCUCGCCCGUCUUGAUCUGCCCUCACCGUCGCUAGGCCAGGCUCUCGCCAGUGAUGAUCUUGAAUCAGCCGGUGUCCACUACAGCACAUUCCAGAUGUGGCGCCACUCUCUCCCAAGGCUAUAAACAGCCCAGCUUUCUCUAAACAUCUGGUGGUGCGAUACAGAGCUUGUGUUUCGACACUUACAUUCCUACAUUCAUAUGUAUGUGAUAUUAUAUACAUUAUUGCCUUACAUGAUACUCCUACUGUCUUUCCAACUCAAGCAGUCCGUCAGGAAGCAAGCAUUCAGUAAGACGAGACUUGGUAUGAGUUAUGAAAAGCAAGGACACUUUCAGACUUUCAGCUGGAGCAGUUGUACUGAUAUGGGAAUAAAUAUCAUCAUCUGUC